AACGAACGCUGGCGGCAGGCUUAACACAUGCAAGUCGAACGCAUCCUUCGGGGUGAGUGGCAGACGGGUGAGUAACGCGUGGGAACGUGCCCCUCAGUUCGGGAUAACCCAGGGAAACUCGGGCUAAUACCGGAUACGUGCGAGAGCAGAAAGAUUUAUCGCUGAAGGAUCGGCCCGCGUCUGAUUAGCUAGUUGGGGGGGUAAUGGCCCACCAAGGCGACGAUCAGUAGCUGGUCGGAGAGGAUGAUCAGCCACAUUGGGACUGAGACACGGCCCAAACCCCUAGGGGAGGCAGCAGUGGGGAAUAUUGGACAAGGGGCGAAAGCCUGAUCCAGCCAUGCCGCGUGGGUGAUGAAGGCCUUAGGGUUGUAAAGCUCUUUCGUCCGGGACGAUAAUGCCGGUACCGGAAGAAGAAGCCCCGGCUAACUUCGUGCCAGCCGCCGCCGUAA
rnacentral:rRNA from 1 species